rnacentral:lncRNA from 1 species
GGGACUUCUUUUCGGACGAUCUGUGAGAGCAAAGCAGACAAGAUGUAGGCAGGGGACUGAUAGUUCUGGUGGCGGAAUCCACCACUGGAAGAUUUCGAACAUAGAAUAGUUGAUGAAUUUAGGAUGAUAGAGUCCGUGCCCAGCGAUUGUGUGAUCUGUUGAUUCUAAACUAAGAUUGUCGGGUGUAUUCCAUUCUGCAACGAUUCAACUGAGCGCCAGUGAAAGAAUUCUACUUCCUGAUGUAAAGAUGAUUGUCGCUUGCAAAACACGGAAAGUCUGAAUUCAUGGUGAAACUCUAGAGGUGAUGAAGAACAACAUAUAAGGAGUGUCCGGCCACACUUUCUGAUUUUAAACGUGCUUUAACAUCUACACUUCGUUCUGCAUGAGGAUCAUAACGAUCAUUUCUCGGCUUCCCUGGAGCAUUAUCAACACCGUUAGGGCUCCACCCACUCUAUGGAAGAAGAGACUGGGGUAAAAUGGAAGGUCCACACAGGAGCGACAGAAGCAUAGACACAAAGCCUUCUCAACACAUCCUUUCCUCUUUACCCCAACAAACCCACUCAGUUUUGCCUUUGUUCACUUCUUCCAGAUGUUUUUGCAUCUGUAGUAAUCUAUUCCCUGUUGCUAUGGGAAUAAUAUACCUGACAGAGGCGUCUUGAGGCAGAAAAAGGUUUAUUUUGGUUCAUGGUUCCAUGGAGCAGAGUCCAUCAUACCAAUGAAGGCAUACAUACAGCAGAAGCAUAAUAGCAAGGCAUACAGCAGAUGCAUAAUAGCAGCUUGUCAGAUUGCAUCAGCCAUAAGGAAGAAGCCUCAGUGAUAAACGUCCUCCACUAAAGAACCCUUCUGAAAGUUUCUAUAAUUUUCCCAAACUACCAACUGGAACCAAGUGUUCAAACCCAUAUGCCUCAGGAAGACAUCUCACAUUCAAAGCACAAUGAUGUUGAACAACCCAGUAUGUCUCCUUAUGUCACUAAAGCUGCCUUGAUGACGUCAGCUUGCUUCCUGUUCAGCGAACAAAAUGAAUAUUAUCUACUCUAGUCACGGCUCCAGCCUGGUGUUCUGCCUCUAAACUUCCUCAAGUUGUUCAAGUUUGGGUAUAUCUCUAAUUCAGCGUCCGUGAGAGUGCCAUGAAAUGCACACCACUAGGUGAUGUCAUACCUCAUUAUGCCUUUGCAUCCUAAACCACUGUCAGGAUAGCCAGUGCUGUUCUGUGUGCACGGAAGCCAUCUUAACACAGAAAGGAAACUGUAAAAGGUCUUCCCCUUACAUGUCCUCUUUUGCUUGCUAUCAUGGAAGUGAUAUUUUCUGAUCAUAACUCUCAAGGUCCACCUUAUCCUCAAACCUCUGCAUUGUUUGAGGAGUCACCAUAGAGUUUCUGGUUUUUACUUUAAACCUCACAUUCUCUUUAUGUAAUAUGCUGGAUAAUUUCACAGGCAUCAGGAAUUGAAUCCCCUUCUACCAAGUCUCAUGGGUGGCUGCCCUUCACUGGGCAAGCAUAGGUAUUCAUUAAAUAUUCAUCGAAAGAUUUUUUUUAUUAACUUGUUGUGGCUUUCCCCACACUUUGGAUCCAACUCAAAUACCAGUUAAUACAUAAUCCUUUUUUU